rnacentral:snRNA from 1 species
ACUCAUACCUUGCAGGGGAAAUACUAUGUCAUAAAAGUGGUUUUCCCAGGGUGAGGCUCAUCCAUUGCAUUUUGGGUAUGCUGAUCCCUAUGAUUUCCCCAAAUGUGGGAAACUCAACUGCAUAAUGUAUGUUAAUGGGGGAUUGUGUUUGUGACUUCCCUCA